rnacentral:ncRNA from 18 species
GGGAAUCCGGUUCGAAUCCGGAACUGUCCCGCAACGGUAUGACCCGUACCCCUUUGUACGGGCCGAGUCCGAUGACC